rnacentral:rRNA from 1 species
AGCUGGUCUGAGAGGAUGACCAGCCACAAUGGAACUGAGACACGGUCCAGACUCCUACGGGAGGCAGCAGUGGGGAAUAUUGCACAAUGGGCGCAAGCCUGAUGCAACCAUGCCGCGUGUAUGAAGAAGGCCUUCGGGUUGUAAAGUACUUUCAGCGGGGAGGAAGGGAGUAAAGUUAAAACCUUUGCUCAUUGACGUUACCCGCAGAAGAAGCACCGGCUAACUCCGUGCCAGCAGCCGCGGUAAUACGGAGGGUGCAAGCGUUAAUCGGAAUUACUGGGCGUAAAGCGCACGCAGGCGGUUUUUUAAGUCAGAUGUGAAAUCCCCGGGCUCAACCUGGGAGCUGCAUCUGAUACUGGCAAGCUUGAGUCUCGUAGAGGGGGGUAGAAUUCCAGGUGUAGCGGUGAAAUGCGUAGAGAUUGGAGGAAUACCGGUGGCCGAAGGCGGCCCCCUGGACGAAGACUGACGCUCAGGUGCGAAAGCGUGGGGAGCAAACAGGAUUAGAUACCUGGUAGUCCACGCCGUAAACGAUGUCGACCUGGAGGUUGUGCCCUGAGGCGAGGCUUCCGGAGCUAACGCGUUAAGUCGACCGCCUGGGGAGUACGGCCGCAAGGUUAAAAUCAAAUGAAUUGACGGGGGCCCGCACAAGCGGUGGAGCAUGUGGUUUAAUUCGUGCAACGCGAAGAACCUUACCUGGUCUUGACAUCCACGGAAGUUUUCAGNGAUGAGAAUGUGCCUUCGGGAACCGUGAGACAGGUGCUGCAUGGC